UACAGAGGCCUCGAGCGUUAGGCGGAAUCACUGGGCUUAAAGCGUGUGUAGGCGGACUUCUAAGUGCCUUGUGAAAGCCCACGGCUCAACCGUGGAGGGUCAUUGGAAACUGGGAGACUUGAGUGCAGAAGAGGAAAGUGGAAUUCCAUGUGUAGCGGUGAAAUGCGUAGAGAUAUGGAGGAACACCAGUGGCGAAGGCGACUUUCUGGUCUGUAACUGACACUGAGGCGCGAAAGCGUGGGGAGCAAACAGG
rnacentral:rRNA from 1 species